UCCCUGGUGGUCUGGUGGUUAAGACUCUGCGCUUCCGCUGCAGGGGGCACGGGUUCAAUCCCUGGUCAGGGAA
rnacentral:tRNA from 1 species